UACUUUAAAUGGUUACAUGUGGAGUUUGUUUUGGGUUGAGCUUAUACAAUGCCAUACAAAAGUUAUCAUUAGUUUUCUUCCAUAAACCGUGGGCUAAUUGAUUUUCCAUUGCACUCAUUAAAAAUAGAUACUUCGCUUUUCUGAAGAUUGUCUCAGAAACCCAAAGCAGGGCCUGGGUCCUCUGGGAUGCCAUCAACUGACCAUUCCAUCAGGCCUUGAGUAGUGGCCCUCCUACUUGUCAGAACUGAAGUAUUUAUCCCAUUUCCCAGCAGAUAAACAUUUGCAAGGCAAAUAAUAAAUUAGCCAUUAAUCAGAAGAAUGUUUGCAUUCGAUGAACUCUGAAUGGAGUGGAGAUGUCAGGUAGAUAGACAAGGUAAAUCAACAAGGCAGAAUCAAUCACAAAGAAGAGCCACCCUUGAUUUAGAAAACAUUGGCUCUAACAUGUGAAGACUUUGAAAGGCUGUAACAACUUUCAGAUCUGUUGUCUGAGAGGCCCAGGUGUUGAGCUUUGCUUGGCUAUUUAAAAAAUCAUGUGAUCCUGGUUUUGUCUUGCAGAGCUGGAAUUGCCAAUGCAUGAAUAAGGAUACAAUGAUAGAACACCUCAAAGCCUUACCAUUUGGCACUAUAAGUUGAUGAUGGUUGAUUUUGAUUCUUCGAAGGAAAAAGUGCCCUUUCAGUGUGAUAUCCUCAACUCAUGUUAAAAAGCAUUGAUCUAAGAUCUCCAACACCCACUUACCAAUAAAUAUACACUAUAAAUAUAUUUCAGUUUUUCAAGUCGGUU